rnacentral:rRNA from 1 species
GAUUAACGCUAGCGGCAGGCCUAAUACAUGCAAGUUGAACGGGAUUAGUUGUAGCAAUACGAUUAUGAGAGUAGCGCACGGGUGCGUAACACGUAUGCAACCUACCUAUAACUGGGGGAUAGCCUCCCGAAAGGGAGAUUAAUACCGCAUAACACUAUGAGAUGGCAUCAUUUUAUAGUUAAAGAUUUAUCGAUGUAAGCUGGGCAUGCGUCCAAUUAGCUAGUUGGUGAGGUAACGGCUCACCAAGGCUUUGAUUGGUAGGGGAACUGAGAGGUCAAUCCCCCACACUGGCACUGAGAUACGGGCCAGACUCCUACGGGAGGCAGCAGUAGGGAAUAUUGGGCAAUGGACGCAAGUCUGACCCAGCCAUGCCGCGUGCAGGAUGAAGGCGUUAUGCGUUGUAAACUGCUUUUAUACAGGAAGAAACGACUCUUGCGAGAGGCAUUGACGGUACUGUAUGAAUAAGCA